GGCCCAAACUCCUAACGGAGGCAGCAGUAGGAUUCUGCACAUGACGCAGUCUGAUGAGCACGCGCGUGAGUGAGAUGCUUCGGGUCGUAAACUCUGUGUUGAGAAGAAUGGUCGGCAGAGUAACUGUGUCGGCGUGACGGUAUCCAACCAGAAAGCCACGGCUAACUACGUGCCAGCAGCCGCGGUAAUACGUAGGUGGCAAGCGUUAUCCGGAUUUAUUGGGCGUAAAGCGAGCGCAGGCGGUUUUUUAAGUCUGAUGUGAAAGCCCUCGGCUUAACCGAGGAAGCGCAUCGGAAACUGGGAAACUUGAGUGCAGAAGAGGACAGUGGAACUCCAUGUGUAGCGGUGAAAUGCGUAGAUAUAUGGAAGAACACCAGUGGCGAAGGCGGCUGUCUGGUCUGUAACUGACGCUGAGGCUCGAAAGCAUGGGUAGCGAACAGGAUUAGAUACCCUGGUAGUCCAUGCCGUAAACGAUGAAUGCUAGGUGUUGGAGGGUUUCCGCCCUUCAGUGCCGCAGCUAACGCAUUAAGCAUUCCGCCUGGGGAGUACGACCGCAAGGUUGAAACUCAAAGGAAUUGACGGGGGCCCGCACAAGCGGUGGAGCAUGUGGUUUAAUUCGAAGCAACGCGAAGAACCUUACCAGGUCUUGACAUCUUUUGAUCACCUGAGAGAUCAGGUUUCCCCUUCGGGGGCAAAAUGACAGGUGGUGCAUGGUUGUCGUCAGCUCGUGUCGUGAGAUGUUGGGUUAAGUCCCGCAACGAGCGCAACCCUUAUGACUAGUUGCCAGCAUUUAGUUGGGCACUCUAGUAAGACUGCCGGUGACAAACCGGAGGAAGGUGGGGAUGACGUCAAAUCAUCAUGCCCCUUAUGACCUGGGCUACACACGUGCUACAAUGGAUGGUACAACGAGUUGCAGACCGCGAGGUCAAGCUAAUCUCUUAAAGCCAUUCUCAGUUCGGACUGUAGGCUGCAACUCGCCUACACGAAGUCGGAAUCGCUAGUAAUCGCGGAUCAGCACGCCGCGGUGAAUACGUUCCCGGGCCUUGUACACACCGCCCGUCACACCAUGAGAGUUUGUAACACCCGAAGCCGGUGGCGUAACCCUUUUAGGGAGCGAGCCGUCUAAGGUGGGACAAAUGAUUAGGGUGAAGUCGAACAACGUGGCCUG
rnacentral:rRNA from 1 species